GGCCACAGCCAUAUCACCCUGCAGCUCAAGACCAGUUACUCACUAAAGCCAAGCAGGGCGGAGCCUGGUUAGUACUUGGAUAGGAGACCACAUGAAAAAUCUAGGUUGCUGUUGGAA
ensembl:rRNA 5S_rRNA 5S ribosomal RNA